CUGGUGGAGGGAGGGUAGAGGAAGGGAGUGGAGGGUGCAGAGUGUCAGGAAGAGCGAGGGUGUAGCAGGGAAAGUACUGGUCUGUGCUGCGUGUGGGAAGUGACUUUAGUGGCGGCGUGAAGGCGAGGACACGAGUGAGGUGCUGGCAGGCUGACUGAGAACGUCAUUGUACGACAGAGUAGCCAGCUAAACAGCCGAGCCCUCAGCGUGCGCCUCCCGCCGGACAAGGGACCCUACAUCCAACACUACCUCAUUGAGAUCCACAACGAAGGCUCCUCCUACUCACUCCAAGCUUCUGAAAACCGCUUCGACACCCUUCCUUCGCUCAUCACCUAUUAUUCUCAGUGCUGCGAAGAGUUGCUGGCUCAGCUCAAGCUUCCUCGCACCAUCCAGGAGGCCAAGACCCGCCAUGAACUCGGCUCUCUCUCGCUGCUCGGACAAAGUGAGCAUCAAACACUUACGUGGUCGUGAAAUGUAAUUGAAGUGUAAUGAGCGAGAGGAGGAUUCUCCACUUCAAUGGUGGAAUGACCUCUGCCUUUCUACGAAUGUGUGGGUAGUUUG